rnacentral:misc_RNA from 1 species
AAACGAGGAGUAACAGAAGAAAAACGGCGAGCGCAACUGAAUAGGAAUCUUUUCUCCGAGAAGCGAAAGGAAGGUAGUAAGCGAAUCCAAGAAGGGCACACCGGUACGCAUUAUCGUGGUAGUCAUCGUCGACAGUAGCCGCAGCAGAGAUACCAAGCCCCCCUUCUUUUUCCUUUCUCUCUCUCUCUCUCUGUGUGUGUGUGUGUGCUCUCUAUUCCCCCCUCCCCCCGCCGCCGCUGCCCGUCAGAAUGCUCAAGUUUUUUACAGAGAAGGCGAAUCAUCAGGCCCUCAAGGCCGUGCUUUGCGCCAUGUUUGUGCAGAAGCCCCUCGAGGUGACGCUGGGCAGCACCUACAGCACGCCGUAUCUUCAGCUGCCCAAGUCCAGGGCGCUUCUGUACAGCUGCAAUGAGGCGGCGCGUCUUCUCUGGAACACGCACGCUGCGCCGUCGCCCGCCGACAACUCGCUCGAAGGAGAGGCGGAAUGGCUCGAGUGGGAGUCGACGGUGCUGACGCCAGCCUUGACCCCCCUCUACACGCAGCGACGCGUCACGGGCGAGGCUGAGGUUGCCCUGAAGAAGCUCGACUCCACCAUCGAGGAGCACCAGGGCACCGUGGCGGUGAAGGGGGCGCCGUCGUCCACGUCUUUCUUAGUCGACAGUGUCCUCUUCGCGUCCCUCCUGCCGGCUCUGUGCGAGGGUGGGCUGCUCCCCGCCGCGCAGGCGGCGAGGGUGCCGCAUUUGGUGAAGUGGUUCCAGGUUUUCCAGGCGGAGCACGCGGAGCUGAUUGCCUCUGCGUUUGACGUGCUGUCGGUGCAAGAGUGCAGCGACUUCUUGCGGGUGCCGCAGACGUACGAGGUGAGCCCCAAGAAGCAGAAAGUCUUCUUCGCCACGACGCCGAUCUACUACGUGAACGCGUCGCCACACAUCGGCCACGUCUACAGCACGCUCAUCGUCGACGUUCUCGGCCGUUAUCACCGAGUGAAGGGAGAGGAGGUGUUUGUGAUGACGGGCACGGACGAGCACGGCCAGAAGGUGGCCGAGGCAGCGGCGAAGCAGGGGGUAUCGCCGAUGGACUUCACAACGAGCGUGUCGAGCGAGUUUAAGCAGUGUUUCAAGGAGAUGAAUUAUGACAUGAACUACUUCAUCCGCACGACGAACCCGACGCAUGAGAAGCUGGUGCAGGACAUCUGGAAGAAGCUGGAGGCGAAGGGCGACAUCUACCUCGGCAAGUACGAGGGCUGGUACUCGGUGAGCGACGAGUCAUUCCUGACGGCGCAGAACGUGGCGGACGGUGUAGACAAGGAUGGAAAGCCGUGCAAGGUUAGCCUGGAGAGCGGCCACGUCGUGACGUGGGUGGAGGAGGAGAACUACAUGUUCCGUCUUAGCGCGUUCCGCGAGCGUCUCCUCAAGUACUUCCAUGACCAUCCCAACUGCAUCGUCCCGGAGUUCCGCCGCCGCGAGGUGAUCAAGACAGUCGAGAAGGGUCUCUUCGACUUGUCCAUCUCCCGCAAGCGCGAGUCCGUCAUGAACUGGUCCAUCCCGGUCCCCGGUGAUGAGCGCCACUGCAUCUACGUGUGGCUGGAUGCCCUCUUCAACUACUACACCGGCGCCCUGACCCGUGUCGCAGCCGACGGCACCGAGACACUGGACGAGGACCACCACACACUGAACCGGUGGCCGGCCGACGUGCACGUGGUCGGCAAGGACAUCCUCAAGUUUCAUGCCAUUUACUGGCCAGCCUUCCUGAUGUCCGCGGAACUGCCGCUGCCGGAGCGGCUGGUGUCGCAUGGCUGGUGGACAAAAGAUCGCAGGAAGAUCAGCAAGUCGCUCGGCAACGCCUUCGACCCGGUGGAAAAGGCGAAAGAGUUCGGCAUCGACGCGCUCAAAUACUUCCUGAUGCGCGAGUCGAACUUCCAGGAUGAUGGCGAUUACAGUGACAAGAACAUGGUGGCCCGCCUGAAUGGCGAACUCGCCGACACGCUCGGCAACUUGGUGUCGCGCUGUGUGGCGCCGAAGAUCAAUGUGAACGGUAUGUGGCCGGAACCCGCAGAGUACAGCGAGAGCGACAAGACGCUGAUCGCCUCGCUCAACAACCUGGCUGGCACGGUGGACCACUAUUACUGCCUGCCUGACAUUCAGCACGCAUUGAUUGCCAUCUUUGACGUGCUCCGCAGCCUCAACGCCUAUGUGACUGAGAACGCACCGUGGAAGCUGGUGAAAACGGACACGGCGCGUCUCGGCACAGUGCUGUAUGUAACGAUGGAGGGUCUGCGCAUCUGCACCAUGUUCCUGCAGCCGGUGAUGCCGCAGAAGGCGAAGGAGAUUAUGGACGCGCUCGGGGUGCCGGAGGCGGCGCGCGUGGACAUGGAAAACUACCUAUUCGGCAUUGUAAAGCCGAGAACGAAGAUUGCUGGCUUGGCGGAGGGCCAGGUCAUCUUCCAGAAGGUGACACUCCCCACUGAGGAGGGGGAGCGCAUUCCCGAAGGACAGUAAGAAGGGCGCGUAGGAUUCUCCAGCCUAAUCUUGCGCGCCUCGCAACAGCUGCACACUCGUCGCCCGGGCAGCGGGUGGGGCGGCGAGAACGCGAUGACUGCUGUGCUCGCGGGCCAUUCCCUUCGAUAAAAACAACAAUCCCGAAAAGGAUGAACGCCGAGAGCAAGGGCAACAACAAACCCUGCCUUGCGCGGUUGAGUGACGGUCUCCGCCGCGAUAACAUGAUGUGAGCUACACGAUUCAUGCCCAAGCAGAGCUGCCAAACAGCCAGAUGCGCGCUGCACCAUCUGACGAGCGGCAGAGGUGGUUUUGCGAGAGCAGAAGGCGCACGCGUGUGCAUGGGUGUAUGCCAGUCUGAGCUCGUUUUUUUCUUUCGUAUCUUUGUUCCCACCCCUCCCACCGUGAUGGCGGGUGAAAGUGGGGAGGGGGGCGAGGGACAUACACACACCUCUCUCAGCGCGUGGCACCUCAGGGACCAGUGCACCCACUUUCUCUCCGUGGGAGAGCCAGGCAGCCCCCUCCCCCAUCCCCUGCCAAGUGCCGAGCCGCUUCUGGUGGUGACGGGGUCAGGCGCCUACGCCGCAGGGGGGAGGGUUCAGAGCGAUGUGUCGCUGCUGGUGCCGGCGGUGGCGUCCUGGAUGACGUUGCAUCGGAGUGGCCCGCGACAGCGAGGCAGAUCUGUAUCCAUCCACAUGAUGGGCAGAGCGUCAUCGUGACCCGAGCGUCUCCCACCCGGCCCGGCCCUCACACCGCCCACUGGUGUGGGUGGGGUGCCCGAGCGCCACCGCGAGGGGGAUGCGCCCGGUGGCGGCCGGCAUGGUGGGCGCGGCUGCGCGGCGCCCCGCGAUGCAUGGGCUGUGGGCGUGGGCGGGGGCGGGGGCCGUGCUCUCCGAUGGCUGGGUCAGCGCGUUGCUGUGGCGCGUGUGUGUCUACGGCUGCCAUCGGCCCACGCGAGGUUGGGUCUGUGACAGGGGUCGGAGGGAGAGGGGAUGGCAGUGGAUGGACGGUUGGACGUCAUGUGAUGCGGCAGAGAAAUGGGUAGGUGAGGCAAAACGAAGAAGAUGCCUCGUUCUUUUCUCGGCCAUUGCACUCCUUCGAUCGAUGGACUCGUCGUAUGUGUCCAUUAUAUUCUUUUCCAUGUGUGUGACGGAUCGCUGAUUUCUGUUUUCGUUUCUCUUGUUUAUGUGUGCGUGCACGAGUUUGUGUGUGUGUUUGUAUGCCUGUGAGAGAGCAUGCACGCACACACGGAUGCGGGCGGUUGUGCUUCGUGUGAGGCGACUCCCUCCUCGCCCCUGUCUUUACUCGCUUUUUUCUCUAUGCGUGUCUGUGUUCGAGUCUUUGCACGUAACCGCGGACUAACCGAGCGUAAAGGAAUAUGGAAACGGGAGGGAGGCACACCGGAGAGGAGAAGCGCUAGUACCUUGCGUACGCGCACACGCACGUGUCCCCCUCCGUCUACACGGUACGAGUGGCCCGUCGGUGUCGUUGCGCCAAGGAGACUCAAGUGCUCACUAGCGCGCGCACACUCGCAAGGCUGAAGUCCGAGGCUAUGGCACAAGCGCUUGCCUGGAGUGCGCCCAUUUGUGUGCUUCUCCUCGUGUGUGUUGUGCUUGUGCGUGUGCUUGGAAAAGUGUGCGCAGAUGAACGCCUUCCACAUCUGCGUCGCCCAUCGCAAUUCUCAACGCCAACUUCCUUUCCUAGUCAAUGACUUUCUUUCUACCUAUUUAUCCAGAG